AUUUAAAUAGUUUAAUAAAAAUAUUGAUUUGUGAUUUCAAUGAUAUAGAAUUCUAUUUUAAAUA
rnacentral:tRNA from 1 species